rnacentral:rRNA from 1 species
UAAGCAGUGCGAAUUGCAGAACCGUGAGUCAUCAGAUCUUUGAACGCAAAUGGCGCUAGUUGGUUACCCAGCUAGCAUGCUUGUUUCAGUGUCUUGUUUUCUUCUCACCCAUAUCUUAAUGUGAGAGAUGUCCUUCUCUUGCUAAGUAUGAAAGUACACUGUACUUUGCAGGCAGCUUCAACUUCGGUUGAUGGUUGCACUCAAUGCAGCGGUCACAUUUCAUAUGUGAACUCAUUGAGAGUAAAGACAGCUUGCAGUUUUAGGACUGCUGAAUGUGCUUAGAGCCAAAAAACUUUACUUGUAUCUGAAAUCAAGCAGGACCACCCGCUGAACUUAA